rnacentral:rRNA from 1 species
GACGGAGGGUGCUAGCGUUGUUCGGAAUCACUGGGCGUAAAGGGCGCGUAGGCGGCUGUUCAAGUCGGAUGUGAAAGCCCGGGGCUCAACUCCGGAGGUGCAUCCGAGACUGGACGGCUCGAGGCCGGAAGAGGAGGGUGGAAUACCCAGUGUAGAGGUGAAAUUCGUAGAUAUUGGGUGGAACACCGGUGGCGAAAGCGGCUCUCUGGUCCGGACCUGACGCUGAGGCGCGAAAGCGUGGGGAGCAAACAGG